GAUGAACGCUGGCGGCGUGCCUAAUACAUGCAAGUCGAGCGAACAGAUAAGGAGCUUGCUCCUUUGAAGUUAGCGGCGGACGGGUGAGUAACACGUGGGUAACCUACCUAUAAGACUGGGAUAACUUCGGGAAACCGGAGCUAAUACCGGAUAACAUUUAGAACCGCAUGGUUCUAAAGUGAAAGAUGGUUUUGCUAUCACUUAUAGAUGGACCCGCGCCGUAUUAGCUAGUUGGUAAGGUAACGGCUUACCAAGGCGACGAUACGUAGCCGGCCUGAGAGGGUGAUCGGCCACACUGGAACUGAGACACGGUCCAGACUCCUACGGGAGGCAGCAGUAGGGAAUCUUCCGCAAUGGGCGAAAGCCUGACGGAGCAACGCCGCGUGAGUGAUGAAGGGUUUCGGCUCGUAAAACUCUGUUAUUAGGGAAGAACAAAUGUGUAAGUAACUGUGCACAUCUUGACGGUACCUAAUCAGAAAGCCACGGCUAACUACGUG
rnacentral:rRNA from 1 species